CUGCUAGCAGGAAUUGAAAUGAAACGACCUCGUUACAUCAAGUCGUAAAUGUUAAGCCCGAACCUAAACCCAGUACGCUAAACCCCGACGCCCAAAAAUCUGCGAGCAGGCGCCACCACCGCCACCGGAAUCUAUUACUUAGUCGCCGAUAAUAAUCAUCGCUUUCCGAUACCUAUUAAGCAGAUUUGCGGGCUCACACACUUCUUCCAUCUCUAUUGCGCAGCGAUAUCACUAAUCCACACGCCUUUGACGCGAAUGAGAAGGUUCAUGCGUUUAACGCCUUAUCGGCGCCAUUUGCUUUCGUCUGUGACCUCGGAAUCGCUCGUGGACAAAGGAGAAUCGUCAUUCAGCAAAUUCUUGUCGGCUGGCCAAUCGUUUUUUCUGGCUCGGGCUUUGGUCAGUUGCGGUUUCGUCAGGAAAACAGAGGAGUCUGUGAUUCCGAGAAUACCGUUUAGAUAUCGUUAUUUCCAUGCCACAGCAUUGUCUUCUUCAGCUGACAGAGACUACUAUCGAGUUCUUGGUAUUCCUGAAAAUGCCAGUCAAGAUGAGAUAAAGAAGGCCUUUCACUUGCUCGCUAAAAAGUACCAUCCAGAUGCAAACAAGAACAAUCCAUCUGCUAAAAGGAAAUUUCAAGAUAUAAGAGAAGCUUAUGAGAUAUUGAGAGACUCUAAAAAGAGAGCACAGUACAACGAGAUGCGUUCUCGUGGUUCAGAAGAUACAGGAUAUAAUCAUGGUGAUGCAGAAAGGUUUAGAAAUGCCUAUCGUUCUCAUUUUUCAGAUUCAUUUCAUAAAGUAUUCUCUGAGAUAUUUGAAGAAGCAACUACUCAAUUCUCAUCAAACAUAGAGGUGGAGUUGUCUCUUACUUUCUCAGAAGCUGCAAGAGGAUGCACCAAACACGUGUCAUUUGAUGCAUUCGUUCCGUGUGAUUAUUGUAAUGGGCAGGGCCAUCCUCUUGAUGCCGUUCCAAUAGUUUGUCCAACAUGUAGGGGCUUAGGUCGAGUUACAAUCCCCCCAUUUACAUCAACAUGCAUAACCUGUAAAGGAUCAGGCCGAAUUGCAAAGGGCUUUUGUAUAACAUGUAGAGGAUCUGGGGUGGUUGAAGGGGUUAAAGAGGUUAAAGUUACUAUACCAGCAGGUGUGGAUUCGGGAGAUACAAUCCAUGUGCCAGAAGGUGGGAAUGCUGCUGGAAGUGUAGGCCGAUCUGGAAGUUUAUACAUUAAAAUAAAGGUGGCAGAGGAUUCAAUAUUUACCAGAGAUGGUGCAGAUGUCUACGUGGAGUCUAAUAUUAGCUUUACACAGGCUAUUCUUGGUGGUGAAGUUGAGGUGCCUACUUUAUCCGGGAAGAUGCAAUUAAAAAUACCCAAGGGUGUUCAACAUGGACAGCUUCUGGUACUUAGAGGCAAAGGACUUCCAAAGCAUGGGUUUCUUGUACAUCAUGGGGAUCAAUAUGUACGGUUUCGUGUUAACCUUCCCAUUGCAAUCAAUGAACGACAACGUGCUAUACUUGAAGAACUUGCGAAGGAAGAAAUAAAUGAGGGAAACAGCUCUUCAUUUGGGGGAAAUUGGUGGCAGCAAAUUCUUGAACACACGACGGCCCCAAAGUUCAUGCUGGAACUAUCUGUGCUGAUAUUAUUCCUUGUCUUCGUUAACAAAGUGUUGACCUGAUAGCUGGGUCAAAGAUCAAAUAGGAUUGAGCAGCAGACUAGCCAAAGACCAAGUUUUUGUGAUUGCUACGUUCUUCAUUCUUAAGAACCAAGUUAACUAUAAGUUUUGGGUUGAGUGGACGAAGUUGCAACUUACAUCUGUGGAACUUAGGACUACGGAAAACGACGCUAUCGCUGAUUGAUGUUCUUUCGGGGCCCAUUUAUUUUAAAUGUUUUCAAUUUUUCAAUGGAUAAGAUUGACAACAUUGAAAAUUUAUUUCAUGAGACUUGUACAGUUUUAUUGAUUAAUGCGAAGGUCGCCGUGGGUUACAGCUAUCGAAGAUGGGAACUUCCAAUAUAUAUUUGUUUCCCUUGGCUUUAUAGAUAUAUUUACAGUACCUUUCAUGUUGUAAUUCAAUCCGCUCCUGGGUUUAGGGGCUGGUUUUCUUUUAUACUUCAAAUUGUAUACCUUGUACUUUCUGGAAUUCAACGAAUGAUGUAUCAAUGAGUGCUAGCUUCUAAGCACAGAAUUUUAUUAA